ensembl:lncRNA
UCUCUCUCUCUCUAUCUCUCUCUCUCUGUAUCUCUCUCUCUCUCUGUAUCUCUCUCUCUCUCUGUAUCUCUCUCUCUCUCUGUAUCUCUCUCUCUCUCUGUAUCUCUCUCUCUCUCUCUGUAUCUCUCUCUCUCUCUCUGUAUCUCUCUCUCUCUCUCUGUAUCUCUCUCUCUCUCUCUGUAUCUCGCUCUCUCUCUCUCUGUAGCUCUCUCUCUCUCUCUGUAGCUCUCUCUCUCUCUCUGUAGCGCUCUCUCUCUCUGUAGCUCUCUCUCUCUCUCUGUAGCGCUCUCUCUCUCUGUAGCUCUCUCUCUCUC